GCUUACUUGAGCAACAGAAAAAUUGAAAUAUUGCGUAGGCAUUGUGCACAGUUGGUCAAUCUCGCUGUGCAUUCUACCUAUACAGUGUUUCGGGCUAUUUGACUUACAUUUGUAUGG
rnacentral:precursor_RNA from 9 species